UUCCUGGGUCUGCAGCAAAAUCUAGGUGGUUGGAACUCUUCAAAUUUUGGCAAAGGAAUGAUCAUAGGUAUGAUUGACAGUGGCAUCAAGUUUGAUCAUCCUUCGUUUAGCGACGAAGGUAUGCCUGCACCUCCUGCAAAAUGGAAAGGCAAGUGUGAGAUCAAUGGUAAGAUGACUUGUAACAAUAAGCUCAUUGGUGCUAGAAGCUUUCCCACUGCGGGGAAUCUUUCAGAAGAGGUUUUCCAUGGAACUCAUACCGCUGCAGAAGCUGCUGGAACUGCUGUGGAAGGUGCCAAUGUGUUUGGACAAGCUAAUGGGACAGCAAUGGGGAUCGCCCCGUUUGCCCACUUGGCGAUGUACAAGGUCUGUGUAACUAGUUUUGAA
rnacentral:lncRNA from 1 species